rnacentral:rRNA from 1 species
GUACCGGACAAACGUUAUUCGGGAAUCACUGGGGCUUAAAGAGUGCGUAGGCGGCUUAACAGGUGGGGGGGGGUGUGAAAUCCCACGGGCUCAACCGUGGGAAUUGCGCUCCAAACCGUUAGGCUUGAGGGAGACAGGGGUGAGCGGAACUGAUGGUGGAGCGGUGAAAUGCGUUGAUAUCAUCAGGAACACCGGUGGCGAAGGCGGCUCACUGGGUCUCUUCUGACGCUGAGGCACGAAAGCUAGGGUAGCGAACGGGAUUAGAUACCCCGGUAGUCCUAGCUGUAAACGAUGAGCACUAGAUCGUGGGGACUUCCACAUCCUCUCGGUCGUAGCGAAAGUGUUAAGUGCUCCGCCUGGGGAGUAUGGUCGCAAAGGCUG